rnacentral:misc_RNA from 1 species
GAUGAAGAACGCAGUGAAAUGCGAUAAGUAAUGUGAAUUGCAGAAUUCAGUGAAUCAUCGAAUCUUUGAACGCACAUUGCGCCCGGCAGUAAUCUGCCGGGCAUGCCUGUCCGAGCGUCAUUUCACCCCUCGAGCCGCUUUUAGUGGAUCGGUGUUGGGGCACUACGGUAAAACGUAGGCCCUGAAAUGAAGUGGCGGUCCCGCCGCGGUGCCCCCAUGCGUAGUAACGUUUAGUCUCGCAUCGGGUCCCGGCGGAGGCCUGCCGUCAAGCCUAUUUAUUCUCAGAAUAGUUUGACCUCGGAUCAGGUAGGGUUACCCGCUGAACUUAAGCAUAUCAAUAAGCGGAGGA